UAACCUCCUGACCCAGUUGCUUGACUGAAUGAUGUCCUAUACCUUGUUGGUAUAUGUGUCUUCUCUCCUUUUCUCCACAUAGUCCAUAUAAAUAUCUGGAGAUGCACCACUGAUGCUUUUGCUUCCAAAAUGAUUUACCAGGUCUUUCCACCUUGGCAAGCAAGGAAUGAGUACUUCCUCUUUAAGAGGUGAAGUACUUCCUCUUUAAGAAAGCAGCGCUAGCCAAUCAAUAGAACAAACUCUACGUGCUGGAGUAACUCGGUGAGCCAGGCAGCAUCCCUGUUUUGAAUGGAUAGGCGAUGUUUCGCAUUGGAAUUCUUCUUCUGACGAAGGUGUCUUUCCGAAAUGUCGCCUAUCGAUUCCCUCUAAAAACGCUGCCUGACCCGCUGAGUUAUUCCAAGUUAUUGUGUUUUACUCAAGAUUCUGACAUCUGCAGGUAUUUGUGUCUCCAACAUAACAACCUCUGGUGGAUAAGAGCAGCUGAUGGCAUGGCACGUAUUGGCUUGCUAUUAGCACUACUUUACAAUGAAAGGUCAUAGCAUUUGCAAUGGUUAAAACAGAUACAGGUUAUUUGGGCAUCACAAUCUCAGUACUAAUCAUCACACAUGUUUGUUCUACUUGCCCCCUUUUGCAGCAGUUGACGCAGCCCAUAACUUGUUCCAAAUACAGAAUGGAUUUAUGUCGUAUUUGUACUGAGAAAGAAAUGGUACAUUCCAGACCCAGUUUGGGAAUCAACAUAUCGGGAAGCAGCUGAUUCAUUUUUUUGGCAAUCUUCCCAAGUCAGUAUCUGAAUCCAUGUGUAAAAAGGAACUGCAGUUGCUGGUUUAAACCGAAGACAGACACAAAAAGCUGGAGUAACUCAGCGGGACAGGCAGCAUCUCUGGAGAGAAGGAAUGGAAGACGUUUCGGAUCGCGAUCCUUCUUCAGACUGAAGAAGGGUCUCAAUGUGUUUAAUGGUUUGAAAGAAUUAGACUCUACCAAGCAAAAAAAUGUACACUGUAUCUACAUUUCUUUUGCAGGUUACGCUAUUGGUCAGAAUAAACAGAUCUUAGUUUUAA